GAAGCGGAAACCGGCGCCGUGGGGUCUG
rnacentral:sRNA from 1 species